UACGGAGGGGACUAGCGUUGUCCGGAAUUAUUGGGCGUAAAGAGCUCGUAGGCGGCCAGGUAGGUCUGCUGUGAAAACUCGAGGCUUAACCUCGAGAUGUCGGCGGAAACCAUCUGGCUAGAGUCCGGAAGAGGAGAGCGGAAUUCCUGGUGUAGCGGUGAAAUGCGCAGAUAUCAGGAGGAACACCCGUGGCGAAGGCGGCUCUCUGGGACGGUACUUGACGCUGAGACGCGAAAGCGUGGGGAGCGAACAGG
rnacentral:rRNA from 1 species